rnacentral:ncRNA from 1 species
GUGUUAUAUGAAAGGCGAGAAGGUUAGCACUUUCCUUGACAAGAAUGGAAUGGCCUAUGGGCCUAAUACAUAUCCGGUCAAGACACUGUCGCCUAGUCUAUGGCAACUUAACCAAACUAUUUU